AUUCCAGGCUCUGUGAACUAAGUGACUGAAGCUGAUUGACACAGGUCAAGGGGACUUCAAGGAAGAAAGCCAGCCUUAGACUGACAUCAGAGAACCAAACUCCGGUGUCUAAGCUCAAGAGGUUAGAAUCCUGAGAACUGUUUGGAAUAAGGAAUCCAAAUAUUGUCUUCCAGCUUCACCUUGUCACGACAGUCCUCGCCAGGGACAGCUGAGACCUCUUCUCUGCCUCCCAGCUCCCAUGGCGCCUCUCUCGAUACGUGGCCUCUUCUGAUACUUACCUCAGCUUGGACACAGCUCUCUGAAGAUCAUCUACAUCUCCAUUUAUGCCGUGUGCACGCAGUACCAACAGAGGUCAGAGGAGGGUGUCGGAUCCCCUGGAACUGGAGUCACAGAUUCUUCCUUGCGUGGAUGAAACAGUCCCAACGAACACUUUAAAAAGACAAAUGUUCCCGACAGCACUGGUUGAAUUCAAAACUCGGCAGAUCCAUGUUCUUAUCCUUAGACAAGAGAGGGGCCAUAACAAGAUGGAAUGACGGAACAGACGUGAGAGAUGAUGUCCACCCAGAGGGUCUGCACUUCUCGGAGCCAGAAGGUGGAGAAGAGUAGGGAUGGAGGAAGUUCGAAGUUUUAGGAGUCUGCUCUUGGGUCCCUAGGCAUGAGGACAAGCUUUUCCUGUACUCAAUGCUCAUCUCUCAGUUGUGCCCACAUUGGUACACAUUACUUGCUUUCAACUGCUGCUGCUGCUGUUUCCUAAUUCAAUAAAGAUAUGGCUGGCUCAGCAGAGAGCUGUCAUCCA
rnacentral:lncRNA from 1 species